CGCCCCGGCUGCGCCCAGUAUUUGGGGCGAGAGUCCGUCGAAGUUCGUGACCAAACCGAGCCGAGUGUUCGCCAAGCCCGGAGAGACCGCCAAGUUCAACGCCAAAACCACGGGCCGGCCCCCACCCCAGGUCACAUGGUACAAGGGGGAGGCGGAGCUUCAGUCUAGUGGGCGGGUCAGUGUGUACGAGCGCUCCGGCCUUCACUUCCUGGAGAUAAAGGAAGUGAGCUCGGAGGACGCAGGAAGUUACACAUGUUUUGUCAGCAACAACGCCGGAACGGCUACUGCCACGUCCACGCUCACCGUCCAGGGUGUUCCUGAUGACUCGUCCAGGUGAGACG